rnacentral:rRNA from 1 species
GCACAAGCGGAGGAACAUGUGGUUUAAUUCGAUGAUACGCGAGGAACCUUACCUGGGCUUAAAUGUAGAGUGCAUUUUUUAGAGAUAGAAAUUCCCUUCGGGGCUUUCUGCAAGGUGCUGCAUGGUUGUCGUCAGCUCGUGCCGUGAGGUGUCGGGUUAAGUCCCAUAACGAGCGCAACCCUUAUCGUUAGUUGCCAUCUGGUAAUGCAGGGGACUCUAGCGAAACUGCCACCGUAAGGUGAGAGGAAGGUGGGGAUGACGUCAAAUCAGCACGGCCCUUAUGUCCAGGGCUACACACGUGUUACAAUGGUCGGUACAGAGGGCAGCUACCUGGUGACAGGAUGCUAAUCUCGAAAACCGGUCUCAGUUCGGAUCGAAGUCCGCAACUCGACUUCGUGAAGCUGGAUUCGCUAGUAAUCGCGCAUCAGCUAUGGCGCGGUGAAUACGUUCCCGGGCCUU